rnacentral:lncRNA from 1 species
GAAACUGCUGGUGGAAGAUGAUGGAGGGGUGUCAGCUAGGAGGUGCCUUACAAAAGCCGUGUGCCACUUCCCACUGCACACAAGAACUGGGAAGGCCUGUAACCAAGUGGCUGCCACUUACUGCUGGAAGUGAAAAAAGGCCCCUGGAGCACCAGGAUUCUCAUGAGCUCUUGGAAAUAACAGAGUAGAAAACUGAAAAAGGAGGCUCUGGAGAAGCAGCAGAUGAAUUUAUGAAGCCUGGGGACGUGGAACAUGAGCUCUGCAUCCCAGAGCAUGGGGGAGAGGACAGUCCCAGUACAAGCACAGAGAGCCAGUGAGACAAGGCUCCUCCAAGAAGUUGUGGUACUGAGGGACAGAGCAGAUGCUGAAGCACAAGAGCUGCUCACCUUGGAGCUGAGUGCUUGAGGAGGCAGCCUGGCCCCUGUCCUGCAGCCAGGUUCUGCCAUUGCACCUGAGAGCAGCCCUUUGAUACCGAUCUUGCUACAAUUUUUAUUGCAGAUUAUGUUAAAACGCAGACCAAGCCCAGAACACAGUAGGGAAGGAGAUGGGAAAAGUGAAGUCAGAUCUAAGUGUUGGCUUUUAGUUACCUGAGAUUGUCAGUGCUGUUCUCUCCCUAAAGAAAGGAGUUGGCUUUAUAAUUUAUUAUAAUUAUUGUUACAUAACAGAGUUUUUAUUAUUGAAAAGAAUGUAAGUAUUCCUCAAUCAAGUUGAACUUGAUUCACAUUAAAAUUAAUUUAUUUAAAUACUAUUAGUUAUUGAAAAGGCUUAUUUAGAACUGCAAUGACAAAUGAACAGCUGUGGUGUGGAGACUGCCAUUUAAGCUUGUUCUGUGUCAGCGCAGAACUCAUUUCUACUGAAGCCUUCAAGAAGCCUUGAGCCAGCCUGUGUGUGACCUAAGGGAGCAGUUCUGCUUGUUCCACCCUGGGAAGGGAGCAGGGAGGGGAUGCACACCAGUUAGAGCUCCCAGUGUGUUCCAUGAAAGAUGAUUGCAGCAGAAAGACUUAAUGAGCCUUUAAUUUAGGAUUGUGUCUUUUCUGGAAACAGCUUUGCUGUCUGCUGUGCAUUGUCCAGCAGUAUUUACUAGGGAAUAACAAUCAUUAUGAUUUAUUUCAUUAUUAACUAUAUUGUGUUUUAAAGCAAUUUUCUAUUUUUAACAUUGCUGCAGGACUGUUUGGAAAACCUGAAUGU